ACGCUCGACACCUACGGGGGGCAGCAGUGGGGAAUAUUGCACAAUGGGGGAAACCCUGAUGCAGCGACGCCGCGUGAGCGAAGAAGUAUUUCGGUAUGUAAAGCUCUAUCAGCAGGGAAGAAACUGACGGUACCUGACUAAGAAGCACCGGCUAAAUACGUGCCAGCAGCUGCGGUAAUCUGAGCGGGCUGGCAAGGC
rnacentral:rRNA from 1 species